UAGGGAAUCUUCGGCAAUGGACGAAAGUCUGACCGAGCAACGCCGCGUGAGUGAAGAAGGUUUUCGGAUCGUAAAACUCUGUUGUUAGAGAAGAACAAGGACGUUAGUAACUGAACGUCCCCUGACGGUAUCUAACCAGAAAGCCACGGCUAACUACGUGCCAGCAGCCUCGGUAAUACGUAGGUGGCAAGCGUUGUCCGGAUUUAUUGGGCGUAAAGCGAGCGCAGGCGGUUUCUUAAGUCUGAUGUGAAAGCCCCCGGCUCAACCGGGGAGGGUCAUUGGAAACUGGGAGACUUGAGUGCAGAAGAGGAGAGUGGAAUUCCAUGUGUAGCGGUGAAAUGCGUAGAUAUAUGGAGGAACACCAGUGGCGAAGGCGGCUCUCUGGUCUGUAACUGACGCUGAGGCUCGAAAGCGUGGGGAGCAAACAGG
rnacentral:rRNA from 1 species